AAUAAGUGUAAGAAUUUUAUAAAAGAGAUUAAAUGAUAAAUCAUUAAAUUUAAAAGAUUUGGCAGUAUUUAAUAUUUAGAGGAACCUGUGUAGUAAUUGAUAAUCCACGAUAAGAUUUACUUAAUAAAAAUUAUUUAUGUAUUGCUGUUUUAAAUGUUUAAUUAAGUUAGAUAAGUAUAAAUUAUAAAAUUUAAUAAAGUAAAAUAAUUCAAGUCAAAAUAUAGUUUUAUUAAGAUUAAUAUGGGUUACAAUUAAUUAGAUUAAUGGAUUAUAAAAUUUAAUUUUUAUAUAAAAAUGGAUUUAAAAGUAAAUUUAAUAAAUUAAUUAAAUUGAAUAUAUAAUUUAAAUAUGU
rnacentral:rRNA from 1 species